AAGAGUUAUAGUCGAUUAAUUGUAAGAGUACGAAUGGUAGCGCUGUAGAUAGACCGCAAGGCUAACAUAUAUUGUCGACAUGUUCAAAUACCAAAAGCUUCUUCUCAUUCUUAUAGUAAAAAUCCACAACAAGAAAUAAGUUCUUGUACUUCGGACUCUCUCUACUCAUAAACUGAAGGUAGUUGUUACGCAAAAUUAGGGCACACCGAGAUAGAGCAGAGCUACAAUUGAAGAUGACGACAAUUCCUCUUCUGCGUUUUUCUUCCAAUGGUAUUUCCUUUGCUAUUUCCCGUUCUGCUUCAGCAUUUUGUACUUCGGACCAACCGCAGCCUAAGAAGCUUUUACAACCAAUGGAUGGGUUCAAUCUUACGGAUCCCAGUGCGUUAAGCCUCCAAUUAUCUAUGGUGAUGAGCAAGCACUAAGAUUUGAGACUUGCUAUCAAAUUGCUUUGGCCAUUAAGGAUGAGGUUGAAGAUCUUGAGAAGGCUGGCAUUGUCAUUCAAGUUGAUGGAGCUGCUUUAAGGGAGGCGUUGCCUCUUAGAAAGCCCGAGGAAGCUUUCUACUUGAACUUGGCUGUGGAUUCAUUCAGGAUAACCAACUUCAAUGUUCAAGACACUACCCAAACUUCAAUGUUCAAGACACUACCCAGGUCGAUAUUCAGUCUCGUCCUCAUUCUGCAAGUCAAAUGAUUAUUAUUAUAUCUGUCAAUCUUUGUCUUCAAAAAAAAAAACUUAUCUCUGUCAAAGUCUGUUGUGCUUAGCUACUUCUUCAGAAGUUUCCUAUAUCAGAAUUUGUAUCUUAGGUAGUCCAUGUAUUUUGCUACUAAACUAGCUUCUGAAACUCAUGCACCUUUCGCUCUAAGAACAGGACGAAGGAUAAGAAUAUGAAUUAGAUGAGUUUAAGGAACAUUGUGUUUUCCCUACAUUUCUGAAGGAUUAACAUGAUGUCAAGCAGUAUUGCAAGAAGGAGACGAAAAGAUUCAUAAGCAAAUUCAUAUGUGUGAAAUUGGUUCUUUCUUUCCAAUAGUUGCCCAGUAAAGCUAAGAGCUGGAUAGAACCAGGAGGUGUUUUUGUGUUAUUGGGGAAGUUUUUAUUUUAAGGUAGUAUUUUUCUUCUUUGUCCCAGGGUUUUGGUUCGGUUGUAAAGCACAACGCGUGAUGUUAGUCGUACAUCAUGAGUUCGAAUCUUUGUUGCCGACAAAAGUUUGGUAUUUAGGUGAAGAUGGGUAGAGGGAUGGGUCAUUAUCCGCCGAGUUUCAACUGCGCUAGCUGGUCCUCGGGGAUUUGUCGAUUAUAAUGAAACUAGUUUUUUUUUCUUUUACGUGGUUCUAAUCGUCACUGCUAUUUUUUGUGAUAGAUUCACACCCACAUGUGUUAUUCAAACUUCAAUGACAUCAUCCAUUCCAUCAGAGCAUUUUUUUUAUUUUAUUUUCUGAAACAUUGGUAGUUCUUUGUUUAUUCCCCUAUUCCUUUUAUCCUGUUUAGUUGUGAUUGCUGUGAAAAAAUAACUUCCAUUUGUUGGUCUACUCUAAGCGCGCGCUCUCUCUCUCUCUCUCUCACACACACACACACACAUGUGGAGAAACACUUUAGCUGUUCCAUAUCCAAUCUUGCUACGAUUGAGCAGAUUUAAUUUUCAGACACAUGUCAAGCCAGUCAAUUUUUGACGCUUGUACUGGAGAAUAUUGCUUAAUGUGCUAUCACAUAAUUUUCGGAUUAGAAAUCCAAUGAAAAAUAAUCAACAGUAAAUACUUUGUUAAAUAGCUGCUCAGCCGUGCAAGAAGAUGCCGAUGCAGCAUAUAUACAAUGGGUUCAAAUGAUGCAGGCCUUCAGAGAGCACAACAUGAGAUGCAUACAAUUUCAUCUCAUUAGCACUUAAUAUUUACUUAAUUGAUGGUUUUAAGAUUCAUAGCAAGUUGAUUGAUUACAUUUUAGAAAUGCAAAUACCCCAUCCAAAUUUGAGCUACAGAAAGACUAGUUUCAUUUCUUUAGCUUCAUUCGCAGAUUUCAUCAUGUUGGCAGCAUAAAGUCCAGACCAAGAACCAACAGAGCAACAAGAGUCUAGAGUCAUUUUCAUCUUUUUCCUUUGCUUCUUCAGGUUUGCAGCGAAACAGCUAGCAUUUCCGGUCGUGUCAUCAUCCGUCGCAUCAUCUUCAUAUUCACUGUAAGAGCUACUUUUAUCUGCUGGGGAUUUUUCUGGAAGGCUUUUAGCUUCUGUUUGCUCACUGGUUUUAGGACUAGUGUUCUUUUGCUGGCUCUUCAGCAGGGGUAUUAUCAGCAUUAUCCUGCUUAGUAAAUUCAUCUCUUAGAGUGAUCUUCUGUCUUUUAGGCUUUAGCCAGGGGUAUUCUCAGCUUCUGUGGCUGGCAAUUCCUUAUCUUUCUGUGCUGCUGAAGUUAUAUAAGUUUUGGCUGUUUAACAUGAAGAGUGCCAUUUUCAAACUUCGCAUUGACGUUGCUUUUGUCACAAAUUUCUGCAACAGGAAAGUCCUGAAACCUUUGCUAUUUGUUCUGCACAGUCGGCCUUUGUCCACUGAUUUUCUGAAUUCCUAUUCUGGUCAGUUGAACCCUUAGCUGUUCCUUCUUGAAACCAGAGGCAGACCCAAGUGGUGAGAAGUGGGUUCGCUUCGUCAAAAAAUAAUACUAUGUAUAUGUAUAAAUUAUGGCUAAAGCAAGGUAAAUUUUGUAUAGAAAUUAUUUUUGAACCCGCUUAUACAGCUUAUACCGCUUAUGUUAGUUAUGGACUUCUCCGACUGAACCCGCUUGCACAAAAUUCUGGGUCCGCCACUGUUUGAAACCUGACAAAUUUCAGUCUUUUCAGUGCGUUAUCAUAUAUGAACUCAACAUUCGGCUGUGAUGUCGAUCGAUACAUGGUUUCUCAGGUGACAUAAGACAGGAAAAUAAGUUACUGUGAUAUGUGACGUUUUCAUCCAAUUAUUAACAUUUUGUUUGGAGAAUGUUAACAUUAUACUGGGCAUAGUGCAAAAAUCUCAUCCAGCAGUUUAGCAAAAUUUCGUUUCAAAGAGUCUGUAAUUUCUUUUUGUGUUGUAAUUUAGUUGCACGUGCACUAGAUAGACUCAUACUUUGUACUAUAUUUUUAUUUUUAUAAAUAAAUGCUAAAAAGUAUGUGUACAUACUAAGAGGUGCACCCACUUCUUUUAAAUUCUGAUCAAUUCAUUUAUAAUUUACUCCCCUUCUAGAAAAAAGAUAAUCAACAACUAUGCCUCAGUUUCAAGCAAGUUGGAGUCGGCUAUGCGAGUUCUCACUCUGUGUCGCGUAGGUGUGAUAAAAGAACAACACCUCGAAGAUUAAGGUGAAGAGGGUCAGUGUGUGUGUUCUUGAAGCAGCUCAGCUUUGAUGUUGACACAAAAUCUUCAUAUAAUUGAGUUGUAGUAGAAGCUGUAGCUUCCUUUGAUUCCAUUUUCUGUUUUUCUUUUCUUUUCUUUUUGCUAAUAUGUAAUCUUCCUUUUA